rnacentral:rRNA from 1 species
UACGGAGGGUGCAAGCGUUGUCCGGAAUCACUGGGCGUAAAGGGCGCGUAGGCGGCCUGGUAAGUAGGGGGUGAAAUCCUGCGGCUUAACCGCAGGGCUGCCUUCUAAACUGUCAGGCUUGAGCACGGUAGAGGCAGAUGGAAUUCCCGGUGUAGCGGUGGAAUGCGUAGAGAUCGGGAAGAACAUCAGUGGCGAAGGCGGUCUGCUGGGCCGUUGCUGACGCUCAGGCGCGACAGCGUGGGGAGCGAACAGG